rnacentral:rRNA from 1 species
GACGAACGCUGGCGGCGUGCUUAACACAUGCAAGUCGAACGGAAAGGCCCUGCUUUUGUGGGGUGCUCGAGUGGCGAACGGGUGAGUAACACGUGAGUAACCUGCCCUUGACUUUGGGAUAACUUCAGGAAACUGGGGCUAAUACCGGAUAGGAGCUCCUGCUGCAUGGUGGGGGUGGGAAAGUUUCGGCGGUUGGGGAUGGACUCGCGGCUUAUCAGCUUGUUGGUGGGGUAGUGGCUUACCAAGGCUUUGACGGGUAGCCGGCCUGGGAGGGUGACCGGCCACAUUGGGACUGAGAUACGGCCCAGACUCCUACGGGAGGCAGCAGUGGGGAAUAUUGCACAAUGGGCGGAAGCCUGAUGCAGCAACGCCGCGUGCGGGAUGACGGCCUUCGGGUUGUAAACCGUUUUCGCCUGUGACGAAGCGUGAGUGACGGUAAUGGGUAAAGAAGCACCGGCUAACUACGUG